UGGGGGUGGAAAAGGCACUCAUCUCUUCUGUAUCCAAUCAUGUCAACUGCAAGUCCAGCUCCUCAUGAGCUUUUGAAAAUGAUUUCCUGCGGCUGCACAACACACUGUGUCACAUCUCGCUGCGGGUGCGCAAAAGCUGGAAUGAGAUGUUCUGAAUUAUGCAAAAAUUGCAAUGGUAUCAGUUGUGCAAAUCCUUCCAUCAUAAGGCGACCUGCCUUGGAAGAAAAUGACGUAGAUGACCCUGCUCCUAACGAAUUUCCUAUUGCUCAGAAUGAAAUAAGUCAGGACCAAAAG
rnacentral:misc_RNA from 1 species